UACGGAGGGUGCGAGCGUUGUCCGGAAUCAUUGGGCGUAAAGGGCGCGUAGGCGGCCUGCUAAGCGUGCGGUGAAAGCUCGGGGCUCAACCCCGAGUCGGCCGUGCGAACUGGUGGGCUUGAGCACUGUAGAGGCAGGCGGAAUUCCGGGUGUAGCGGUGGAAUGCGUAGAGAUCCGGAAGAACACCGGUGGCGAAGGCGGCCUGCUGGGCAGUAGCUGACACUGAGGCGCGACAGCGUGGGGAGCAAACAGG
rnacentral:rRNA from 1 species